rnacentral:snRNA from 1 species
GUGCUCGCUUCGGCAGCACGUAUACUAACAUUGGAACGACACAGAGAAGGUUAGCAUGGCCCCUGCGCAGGGUGACACUCAAGUUCGUGAAGCGCUCCGUAUUUUU